GGUGGCUCAAUGGUAGAGUGCUUGCCUAGCAUGCAUGAAGUCCUGGGUUCGAUUCCUCAGCACCA
rnacentral:tRNA from 1 species